rnacentral:rRNA from 1 species
AGUGAACGCUGGCGGUAGGCCUAACACAUGCAAGUCGAACGGCAGCACAGUAAGAGCUUGCUCUUACGGGUGGCGAGUGGCGGACGGGUGAGGAAUACAUCGGAAUCUACUUUUUCGUGGGGGAUAACGUAGGGAAACUUACGCUAAUACCGCAUACGACCUACGGGUGAAAGCAGGGGAGCUUCGGACCUUGCGCGAUUGAAUGAGCCGAUGUCGGAUUAGCUAGUUGGCGGGGUAAAGGCCCACCAAGGCGACGAUCCGUAGCUGGUCUGAGGGGAUGAUCAGCCACACUGGAACUGCGACACGGUCCAGACUCCUACGGGAGGCAGCAGUGGGGAAUAUUGGACAAUGGGCGCAAGCCUGAUCCAGCCAUACCGCGUGGGUGAAGAAGGCCUUCGGGUUGUAAAGCCCUUUUGUUGGGAAAGAAAAGCAGCAGGUUAAUACCCCGCUGUUCUGACGGUACCCAAAGAAUAAGCACCGGCUAACUUCGUG